CCCAUAUACCGUCACCCCACAUCUCCAUACCAUCACAGCUGGCAGGACAGUCUGUUCUGGAGUGUGGAAGUCCAAGAUCAAGGGCAGCCUCAAAAUCCACCCAGGGAACUCACAGGCAUCUCUCUGACUACAAGCAGCAGAAACAAGGC